GCUGCUUGACUGCAUUAAACAGCAGCUGCGUGAAUCUCAGAGAGGAUUAAAGAGGGACAUUCGAGUCACUUCACAGUCACUGCCGCACAGACAUGAUGGCUUUACUGGGAAUGUUCCUCUGGACACUGGCCCUGUCUGUUCAAGGCUCUGGGGCUCAGAUCAUCCUGACUCAGAGUCCAGCAGUGGAAUCGGUCACUGUAGGAGUCACUGUCACUCUGAACUGCCAAUCCAGCAGCUCUUCAGUUGGGAGCUACAUAGCCUGGUAUCAGCAGAAACCAGGAGAAAGUCCCAAACUUCUCUUCUAUUCUGUGGGUAACAAGGUGUCUGGGAUUCCAGGUCGUUUCUCCGAUAGCCGUGAUGACACAAAUUACAGGCUGAAAAUCAGUGGCGUGCAGGCUGAAGAUGCAGGAGAUUAUUACUGUCAGCAGGGUUAUAGCCGGCCGUACACACAGUGACACAGGCCAGUACAAAAACCUCACUCAGUUCAAGCUCUUGGCUAUUAUAAUUUACUGAAUUUUGAUAAGUCUUUAAACCCUGAGACCCUGUACUGGAUAUUGAGCAUUCAUUAUUUUUUAUUUGUUAAUUAUAUUUUUUAUUUGUUAACAUUAUAAAAUGUUUACAUCCUUAAUUUAUUGUGAUGUACAGUAUGCUUUAACUGAAACGAAACACCAAUACUUUUUCCACUUUUAAUUUCUGUGCUGAAAAAAAUACUUUUAAAAGUAUUAAAAAAUUAUUGCUGGCUUGACUGGUCUAUCGAUUUUUGUCUAUCUUUGCAAUUUAUGCAGAGGUUUAGUCAACCGUUUAAAGGUGAUAUUGAUACAGAAUAGCAUAACAUAUGUCAGCUUUGUACAUAUAAUAGUUGUGUGGUAGAAAUAUCAAACUGAUAAGUUACAUCUUCCUUUGGAGACAAAAUUAAAAUACAUUUUUUGUCAAC